AGUGAACGCUGGCGGUAGGCCUAACACAUGCAAGUCGAACAGCAGCACAGUAAGAGCUUGCUCUUACGGGUGGCGAGUGGCGGACGGGUGCGGAAUACAUCGGAAUCUACUUUUUCGUGGGGGAUAACGUAGGGAAACUUACGCUAAUACCGCAUACGACCUACGGGUGAAAGCAGGGGAUCUUCGGACCUUGCGCGAUUGAAUGAGCCGAUGUCGGAUUAGCUAGUUGGCGGGGUAAAGGCCCACCAAGGCGACGAUCCGUAGCUGGUCUGAGAGGAUGAUCAGCCACACUGGAACUGAGACACGGUCCAGACUCCUACGGGAGGCAGCAGUGGGGAAUAUUGGACAAUGGGCGCAAGCCUGAUCCAGCCAUACCGCGUGGGUGAAGAAGGCCUUCGGGUUGUAAAGCCCUUUUGUUGGGAAAGAAAAGCGGCAGGUUAAUACCCCGCUGUUCUGACGGUACCCAAAGAAUAAGCACCGGCUAACUUCGUG
rnacentral:rRNA from 1 species